AGGUUCUGGGCUGAAGCGCGUAAU
rnacentral:siRNA from 1 species